AUUGAACGCUGGCGGCAGGCCUAACACAUGCAAGUCGAGCGGAUGAAGGGAGCUUGCUCCUGGAUUCAGCGGCGGACGGGUGAGUAAUGCCUAGGAAUCUGCCUGGUAGUGGGGGAUAACGUCCGGAAACGGGCGCUAAUACCGCAUACGUCCUGAGGGAGAAAGUGGGGGAUCUUCGGACCUCACGCUAUCAGAUGAGCCUAGGUCGGAUUAGCUAGUUGGUGGGGUAAAGGCCUACCAAGGCGACGAUCCGUAACUGGUCUGAGAGGAUGAUCAGUCACCCUGGAACUGAGACACGGUCCAGCCCCCUACGGGAGGCAGCAGUGGGGAAUAUUGGACAAUGGGCGAAAGCCUGAUCCAGCCAUGCCGCGUGUGUGAAGAAGGUCUUCGGAUUGUAAAGCACUUUAAGUUGGGAGGAAGGGCAGUAAGUUAAUACCUUGCUGUUUUGACGUUACCAACAGAAUAAGCACCGGCUAACUUCGUG
rnacentral:rRNA from 1 species